GGAGGUGUUGUGAAAAAGAUGGUGAAAGAUGUGAAAGAAUUCUUCAGUGGAAAUACAGAAGGAUUACACCACCGUCCGAUUACUGUUUUCUGUAGAAUGAAGGCACCUGAUAAUUCUCCAGAGCCACACUCAUAUUUAUUUAACAUUAUUGCAUCACCCGAUUUUUCGAAUGGAAAUUGAAAUUUUUAUUCUCUCAACAUGGAUGUAUUGAAACAAUUGAACUAUCUAA